GCCCUAGGCGGGGCCUCAGUGCUGAACCAGCCCUGGGGAGACAGUAAUCACAGAAUCCUAGACAGAGAAGCCUCUAGAACUCGGACGAGCCCAUCAGAGCGAGGGCACUCCUUGGGCUGGCUGUUUUCUGUAGUACCCAAAUAUUAACUACCUACUACGUGCUGGGCACCAGAAACGCGCCGUGUGCCAAGUCAGUUGUUGGAGACGGAAAAAUAAUGGAAUCUCCAUUCAAGGAUCACAUCAACGGGCAGUCUUCACCUCAGCCCCAUCCACGGAUCUUUCUCCACCUCCUCUCAUCAUCUGCCCAGCCCCAUUCCAGAUCAGCUGCCCCAGGAGAAGUUUGAUGCGGCAGCUGCCUGUGACUCUUGAACACUUACAGCCCGUCUGAAAUAAGAUUUGGAAGAUUCGGCUUGAAAAGG
rnacentral:lncRNA from 1 species